UUAUAUUUGAGAGUUUGAUCCUGGCUCAGGAUGAACGCUGGCGGCGUGCCUAACACAUGCAAGUCGAGCGAUCUCUUCGGAGAGAGCGGCGGACGGGUGAGUAACGCGUGGGUAACCUGCCCUGUACACACGGAUAACAUACCGAAAGGUAUACUAAUACGGGAUAACAUAUGAAAGUCGCAUGGCUUUUGUAUCAAAGCUCCGGCGGUACAGGAUGGACCCGCGUCUGAUUAGCUAGUUGGUAAGGUAAUGGCUUACCAAGGCAACGAUCAGUAGCCGACCUGAGAGGGUGAUCGGCCACACUGGAACUGAGACACGGUCCAGACUCCUACGGGAGGCAGCAGUGGGGAAUAUUGCACAAUGGGCGAAAGCCUGAUGCAGCAACGCCGCGUGAGCGAUGAAGGCCUUCGGGUCGUAA
rnacentral:rRNA from 1 species